GUGAGGAAUAUUGGACAAUGGGCGCAAGCCUGAUCCAGCCAUGCCGCGUGCAGGAAGACGCAUCUAUGGUGUGUAAACUGCUUUUGUACGGGAAGAAACACUCCCUCGUGAGGGAGCUUGACGGUACCGUAAGAAUAAGGAUCGGCUAACUCCGUGCCAGCAGCCGCGGUAAUACGGAGGAUCCAAGCGUUAUCCGGAAUCAUUGGGUUUAAAGGGUCCAUAGGCGGUUUAAUAAGUCAGUGGUGAAAGCCCAUCGCUCAACGAUGGAACGGCCAUUGAUACUGUUAGACUUGAAUUACAAGGAAGUAACUAGAAUAUGUAGUGUAGCGGUGAAAUGCUUAGAUAUUACAUGGAAUACCAAUUGCGAAGGCAGGUUACUACUUGUGGAUUGACGCUGAUGGACGAAAGCGUGGGGAGCGAACAGGAUUAGAAACCCGUGUAGUCC
rnacentral:rRNA from 1 species